ACUUGUCUGUCGAGGAUUGAAGCCCCCAUGCGUACAUUUGAGACAAAUAGCAGAAAAAUAGGGCAGGGGGAGGGGGAGAGAGGUAUAUGCUUCAGACAUGAACGGGUGAGGGGUCAAGACUCAAGAGACUCAAGACAGACUCAACGAAUCCAUAUAGCGGUUCGAGAAGAAAGCUGAUUUGGCUUUCUCUUGUUUCAAAUUCAGUUCAGCUUCUCCAAACUCUGGUAAUGGAAGAUCGUUACUAAGCAUUUCUUUUUUGGACUUCAAUGAUGUUUUGGAGUAGCUAUGCAGAGGUUUAUAGUUUCAGUUCCUUCCUUCUUCUGCAAAUAAUGAAUUGUGAAUUCGUUUAGAUACUGUGAGGUUAGGUGACUUCUGGAGUUUGAUUUUCCAUUUUGAAGUCACUUUAAUUUAUACUUCUAGUUCUGUUCAUCUGCUUCGAACAUGCUAUCAAUUCGGUCAUACCGUUCUUUGGUGCGAUUCACCAUUGCGGCCAAAGGGAUCCUCAGAAGUUCAUCAUUUUCAAAUACCCAGUUUUUUUCGAACGAUAUGGUGGUUACCCAAUUCAGAUCAUCACCUGUUCGAUCGAAUUUACUCUCGCAGGGUACCCUUUUUCCUGUUUGUCUGGACAGCAUCUCAAACUAUCGAGCAUAUUCAUCAUUUUUUGGUAGCAAACGGGAUGAUCCUCGCGACCCAGAAGUUUCUGCUGCGAGUGAUUCAAACUCAAACGUUAACACGACUGAUGUGGUUGCUAAUGACUGGAUUGAUAAUGUUAAGCAUGCUCUGCAGUCAGCAUCGGAGACUGUGGCUCAAAUGGAGCAAAAGGUUAAAGAGGCAUCAGAUGAACUCACUCCUUAUGUUCAACAAUUGCUUGAUUCGCAUCCUUACCUAAGAAAUAUAUUAAUUCCGGUUGGUGGGACUUUGACUGCUACCAUGUUGGCUUGGCUGGUCAUGCCGAGGGUGUUGAGGAAAUUGCACAAAUACUCAAUGCAAGGUACUGCUGCAUUGCUUUCCGGGAACCUGUUUCAGGAUCAAGUCCCCUAUGAGAAAAGCUUUUGGGGUGCUCUGGAAGACCCUGUGCGAUAUCUAAUCACUUUCAUGGCAUUCUCUCAGUUGGGUGUGAUCAUUGCUCCGACCACAAUUGCAUCUCAGUACAUUGCCCAAGCUUGGAGGGGUGCAGUUAUAAUCUCAUUUGUAUGGUUUCUUCACAGGUGGAAAACAAAUGUAUUUUCUCGUGCUCUGGCUGCUCACAUUGUGGUAGGGCUUGAUCGAGAAAAGUUGCUGACUCUAGACAAACUUUCAUCUGUGGGUCUAUUUGUCUUGGGAUUGAUGGCUUUAGCUGAGGCAUGUGGUGUGGCUGUGCAAUCUAUUUUGACUGUUGGAGGGAUAGGAGGAGUGGCUACUGCUUUUGCAGCUAGAGACAUUCUUGGGAAUGUGCUGAGUGGGUUGUCUAUGCAGUUUUCACAGCCUUUCUCCUUGGGCGAUACCAUAAAAGCUGGAUCAAUAGAAGGUCAAGUGGUAGAAAUGGGACUCACUACAACAUCCUUACUGAACGCCGAGAAGUUCCCUGUCAUUGUUCCAAAUUCCCUGUUUUCAAGUCAGGUAAUAGUGAAUAAAUCACGUGCCCAUUGGCGUGCAAUGGUGGUCAAGAUUCCUUUUCGAAUUGAUAAUCUGGAAGAAAUUCCCUCUAUUUCAGAGGACGUAAAGUCCAUGCUAAGAUCUAACACAAAAGUUUUCUUGGGACAAGAGCCCCCUUACUGUUUCCUAUCUCAGAUAGAAAAUUCAUAUGCUGAACUGACAAUCGGAUGCAACCUUAAACAUAUGAGCAAAGCUGAAUUAUACUCUACACAGCAAGAUAUUUUGCUGCAGUCAGCCAGGAUAAUGAAGCAACAUGGUGCAGCAUUGGGUGGCAGUAGUACCUUAUCUGAGUGGAACAAUCGUUGACAAACUGAAUGAGAGGAAACUUCCCCUUUGUAUAGAGAGAAAACAUGGUUAAACAUCGGCAACCAUCUUCUCUGAGGAAGGUAUUGACUGAAGUUGUUGACUGGCUUAUAAGGAACCAACCACUUUCAAGUUUCAAGUCCCAGCUUCUGAUAUAAAGGCAUACUCCACUAUGCCACAAAGUCCUGUAGCCUACAAAGAGUCAUCCCUUUUAAGGUGACAAAUGAAGUGUGCAGUAAGAAUGCAGUUCAUCUUUACAAGUUGUAUGCAAUAGAAUGCAGAGGGAUAGAAAAAAGUCGAGUUUUAUACAAUUGAACACAGAUUGGGAAAAAGGGGACUUUGUUUCAACAAGAGUAGAGAGGUUGAGCUGGUUGAUGGAUCUUUGAUGGCUCCAUUGCUUUGCUGCAUUUCUGCCAAGGGAUUUGUGCAAAAUGUUCUGAGCCCAAAGCACACAAUGAAAUUUCUUUCUUUUUGGGAUUUCUGUUUGUGCAUUUGCAAUUUUGACAAGGUUACUACAUCUUUGUCUCUCUCUUUUAGUCAUAGGAAAUCUGGUUGGUGAUGGUUGAAAGUUGAAUAGAACAUUGUUAGAAGCUUGACUUGAGUAAGCACCCCAUCUAUCAAGAAGACAAGGACCCCUAACCCCCCCCCCCUCUGGAUUGGAUUAUAAAUAAAAGCUCUAUCUCUUACUGUU